GACAAGCAGUGCCUUGUCCACGCCCAGGAUCUGAACCGGUGAACCCCGGGCCAUCGAAGCUGAGCGUGCGAACUUAACCCCUAUGCCACCGGGCUGGCCCCCCAAAUGACUUAAUUUUGUUAACUCAUUUUCUUCAAGCCCCCCAAAUUCAUCUUUUCUCCUUAGCAGAAAUGUCUUUUUGGAAGUUUGGGGAUGAAUUGAAGGGGGGAGAAAGUUAAAUGGGGGUAAGUUUACUGGAGUAAAGUAAACUUGAGGACAGGCAGCUGUGACCUCUGCAGGAAGGUUCUGGGGUGCUCGGGGAGGAAGUGAGUGUGAUGUAUGUAGUGGGUGUGUGUGGCAGGGUGGCUUCAGAAUGGCAUGUACUGUUCAGAGGCGGAAUUAACGCAUACCUAACUCCUUUUCAGCCUCCCCUUUACAAUGCGUGGGGGUUUUCAUGUAAAAUUUACCAGUCCAGUGCUUAGUCUGACACACCUUAGUCUGAAAAACUGGGGUGGCAUAAGGCAGAGGAACCUGUCCCCAUCUCCAAGACAAACAGGUUCUGUGGGCACAGACCGGUGCCUGACGACCAGGAAGGAAAGUCAGAUGGUCUCUUGUUCCAGGUCCAACUGGUAGUGGGAGACGGAUCCGGAAGAGGGGUUGACACCUCAGGUUUGUCCAGCAGUUUUGAGGUACCCCUGGCAGGCCCAGGCCAGGCACUCUUACUCUUACAGAAAGAAUCCUAUUCAGAAAACCCAAGAUGAUUAAGUCCAUGCUACAUCAUGGUGCUAACCUUUAAGACAAUCCUACAUUUUACAGAUGUAGAAUCCGACAGUUAAAGUAAAGUGACCGGGCCACAAUCACACAGCUUUUCAGUGGGGGACCAGGAUCCUAAGCCAGGUCUUUAGACACCGACAAGGAUAUAGAGUAUGUAACCGCACCCUGAUAGGACUAAUGCCAAUGGACUCCAACCCAGAUCCUGCUGCCUCAGCGCCGUCUUGGGUCAAGGUUACUGCCCUCCAUCCUUGAUGCCACGUGAAGGACCACGUAUGUAGCUAGCCCUGCCAACAGCCACAGCUGUACACAGCCCAGCCGGUGGCAUCCACAGACCCUGAGGAAUGAGCGCUCAGGCCCUCACCCCAGGCUUCCUUUGGCUGGAGGUGACUUUGUCCAUCAAAAUUCCUCUACCUAAUCCUUAAAUGGUUUUGGUUUCUAGUACUCAGUCUGAGACCCUCUUUUCUUCUGUGAUCUCAUCUACUCCCAUAGCUUCAAAUAUCAUGUAUACUUUUGAUUCUCAAUUUUAUAUCUCCAGCCCAGAUCUCUCAGCUGAGCUCCAGAUCCACUUUUUACUAUCCUUAAGCUCUCCACUAGGAUAGAUAUCUCACUCAGACUUCAAACUCAGUGAAUCCCGGAUUUACUUGAUAACGUAACUCAAAUCUUUUUCCCAUGUAACUCAGAUAUAUUUGAUUUUCUAUGUCCAGUGCCACCAUCCAUCACUCUCUCUCACUCGGACUGCUGCCUUCUCCUUCUAUUUGGUAUCCCUAUAUCCACACUGGCUCCCUGUAAGCCAUUCUCCACCCUUUCAGGAGCUUCCCAAAUCAAAUUGUUAACAUGGCUUUCAAAGCCCUGGGUGACUUAAUUCUUGCUCAUCUCUCCUCUUGCUCUCUCUGUUAUAACCAACCUCUUUUUCCUUCCCUGAUUCCUCUCAUCCUUCAGUUCUUAACAUAAUGUUCAUCUUCAGGGAAGUUUUCCCUUCUCCAGUUCGCUAGUGCCCCCUCCCAGAGGUCUCUAUACCCUUCCUCCAUGACACUUAUCCCAAAUGUAACUGGCACCAUUAUUUGUGAGACACUAGACUGUCAGUGCUGUGAGGCAUCUGUCUUGUUCUGCACGGUACUGUUAGCAUCUAACACGGACACAGCAUUCCAAAGUUUGUUGAAUGAAUGUCACUAUGCCUUAUGGCCCCCAUAUAGUAGGGCUCAAGAAAUGAAUCCUAUUUCUCUUUUUAUGCUUUCUUUACGUUGUCCUUUGAGAAUCCAGCCCUAUUUUGAGACUAGGCCACCCUACCACGUCAGACAGCUCUUGUUUUCUCUCUCACCUGGGUAGACCCAUUUUGCAUUGCAGCCUGGGGCUGAAGCCAGAAAAAAAGCUGGAACAUCCCAGACAUGUGAUAAAUAAAUGUUAAGCAAUAGGAUAUACUGGAGGAUCUGAGGAAGCCAUUUGGUGUAAAACUAAUUCGGCCUGAUCUUGGUUUUCCAAAAGGGCCUGAUGUGGCCGUUGAGCAUGCAUUGUCCAUCUGCUUUAAGUAUUUACCAUGUCCCAAAGACAAGAACAGUGCCCUUUAAGAUAAAGAAAGAUGUAACUUCCCCCCACAUGGGCGUGUCCCUAAGGGCAAGCAUCUCUCCCUAGGCUAGGGAUUGAUUGCUGACCUGUAGUGACCACCCAGCUGGAGACCACAGACCUGCUACCUGCUCUGUUCAUCACCUGCUGUGUGAAUCACUGUGCCAGCUAGGCAGUUUCAUGACUGUUGUAAAAGGGACAUUCCAAUCAUUAUGUGAUGCAUGCUGUUUGACGGUAUAUAACCGCUCUGUACACUCCCGCUUUUUUGGAGUGUUCCAUUCCUUUGUGAAAGGACUCUCCCAGGCUAUAUAGUCCUCAGAUCUGGCUUACAAUAAACUCACCCCAAUUUUGAUUUAUAGUUUGGUUACAGAUUAUUUGCGUCAACACAUGCCAGAGCUGAGCCCAGAGUAAGCUCAAUAAAAAUGUGUUAAAUCAAGUAAUGGAUGCCUGUGUCUGUGUGGCAGGCUGGUUUAGAAAGGUGUGUACUGCUUAGAGGUGAAAUUAAAGCAAUCCUAACUCCUUUUCAGUCAUCUCCUUUACAAAACACAGUCCAAACUGCUUUGCAGAUUCUCUCGUGUUCUCUGUCAGCAAGGGUUCCUGGUUCACCUCUUGCCAGCAUCUGUCUGUUGGUCCAGGCAAGGCUGUCUGUCCCUGACACAUGAAGGAAGGACUUGAUGAAGAAUCUACCAUAUGGUCAGCAGUGAAGCAGUGAUGGAAACUGCCCAUCCAAGCCGGCUUGGCUGGAAAAGCUAAUAUUUGUGGCGAACAUGAUGUAAUCUACAUAGACAUCAAAAUAUAAUGAUGCACACCUGAAACUUACGUAAUGCUAUAAACCAGUGUCACCUCAAAAAGAGGAGGAAAGCUGUGGUGUGGGAAACGGCUUCACUGUCAACAAAAAAAAGGACUCUCUCAGAGAAGCAUGGAAAAGACUGUAACAGAUACUCUGGGGUACAGGCUUCUGAUGUCACUGCUUACAUAACUUUAAGAUCAUACCACUGAACUGAAUAAUGAUUUCCAGAACUAAUGGAACCCAAGAUCAACAAAGACCUGGAUUUAUCACAUGGGACUGAGUGGACUGAUAAAGAACAACUAUGAUUUCUUCGACUUUUGCUCGGAAUACCGCUGGUUCUUCUAUGUUCUAUUUUUUUGGAUUUAAGGAACCCUUUUUCUCUUAACCUAUCUAUGACUUAGGGCAACUUAGUAAAUUAUAUCUUUGUAAACAAAAAUGAAACAUUUAUCUUUUCUCCCUGCCUGAUGCCUCCAAAAUUUGGAAACCCUUAUUGAAUAUUCUUAUUUUCAUGGCAAUAUAGUUAUUUGAGUAAGUUCAAUGAGAAUUUGUUCUCCUUGUAACGAGACACAAUUGGAAACACUGGCUCUAUCACCAAGGCUUUGACUGGAAUGUCCGACUUGAGAAUGAUGCGCGCAGAACCAGGUGUGACCAGUUUUAAGGGACUAAGGUUGACUUUAGGAGCCAGUGCCUACAAAGCCCUCCUGGACAACCGGCCUGGGACCAGGCUUACAGUGCUCCUACCUCACAAGUGCAUCAGGGCACCUACUUCCUCGCAGCCCCAAGACACUUAGGAUAUUUUGGGGACCUUGAGAAGGAAGAAUUCAUCCAAAUCUGUAGGUACCACAAGUGAAGUCUGAUGGUAAGUUCUUGGCUUGGCUUCCUAGCCUCAAGGCUUUUAAAAAUCCAAUCUGAGAUUCCUAUUAAAAGUUCCAGCAAAACAAACUUAAAAAGACCUAUGUUGUCAGUUACUAUUCUUGCUGAACUUACAUAAACAAUCAGGCCAAGUUUGAUGAGACUAGACUUGUCUUGUAAACAAAAAUAGUCUUACCUUGAUUAUCUUUGAUAAAAAUAGGAGGGAUUAUGAGAGAGAUCUUAUGCUUCAAUGGAAAA